AUUGAACGCUGGCGGCAGGCCUAACACAUGCAAGUCGCGCGAGCGGCGGACGGGUGAGUACUGUCUGGGGAUCUGCCUGAUGGCGGGGGAUAACUACUGGAAACGGUAGCUAAUACCGCAUACCAUCAGAUGAACCCAUAUGGGAUUAGCUUGUAGGUGAGGUAACGGCUCACCUAGGCGACGAUCCCUAGCUGGUCUGAGAGGAUGAUCAGCCAAACUGGGACUGAGACACGGCCCAGACUCCGACGGGAGGCAGCAGUGGGGAAGAUUGCACAAUGGGCGCAAGCCUGAUGCAGCCAUGCCGCGGGUAUGAAGAAGGCCCUCGGGUUGUAAAGUACGUUCAGUCGGGAGGCGUUACCGACAGAAGAAGCACCGGCUAACUCCGUGCCAGCAGCCGCGGUAAUAC
rnacentral:rRNA from 1 species